AUUGAACGCUGGCGGCAGGCUUAACACAUGCAAGUCGAACGAGCGGCGGACGGGUGAGUAAUGUAUGGGGAUCUGCCUGAUGGAGGGGGAUAACUACUGGAAACGGUAGCUAAUACCGCAUACCAUCAGAUGAACCCAUAUGGGAUUAGCUUGUAGGUGAGGUAACGGCUCACCUAGGCGACGAUCCCUAGCUGGUCUGAGAGGAUGAUCAGCAAACUGGGGAUGGGGACACGGCCAAGACUCCUACGGGAGGCAUCAGGGGGGAUGAUUGCACAAUGGGGGCAAGCCUGAUCAAGCAAGGCCGCGUGUAGGAAUAAGUCCUUCGGGUGUUAAAGUACUUUCAGGCGGGAGGCGUUACCGACAGAAGAAGCACCGGCUAACUCCGUGCCAGCAGCCGCGGUAAUAC
rnacentral:rRNA from 1 species